UACGGAGGAUCCGAGCGUUAUCCGGAUUUAUUGGGUUUAAAGGGUGCGUAGGCGGCCCAUUAAGUCAGGGGUGAAAUACGGUGGCUCAACCAUCGCAGUGCCUUUGAUACUGAUGGGCUUGAAUCCAUUUGAAGUGGGCGGAAUAAGACAAGUAGCGGUGAAAUGCAUAGAUAUGUCUUAGAACUCCGAUUGCGAAGGCAGCUCACCAAGCUGGUAUUGACGCUGAUGCACGAAAGCGUGGGGAUCGAACAGG
rnacentral:rRNA from 1 species